rnacentral:lncRNA from 12 species
GGGCGGGGACAGCCCAAGCUGUGGAGCAACCUUGCGAGGGAGAGGUUGUGGAGGGUGGAGCGUGAACAAGAUCCGUCCUGCACCUGAAGUGUAAACAUAAGGAUGAUGCGGAAGCUCUUUGGUUGACCUACCCACAACCCCACCCUGCGUGAGACCCAGAUUGUGAGCAUUAACAGCCAAUCUAUGUGGACACCAGCUCCAACUGUUACUCCCUGUGCAGAUUUUGUAAAACAACAAAAUGUCCAUUGGGCACUUGAACAUGGACAGAACAAGGAUGAACAGGUGCCUGAUAAGCCACCUUGGAAAGAUUAUGCCUUCGGUGAUGUAUGGAGGCUGUCAUCUUAUGGCUACCAGCAUGUUGACCAUUCCAGAUUGUGUUCAAUAUACUGUUCUUUAUUCUGGUCCAUAAACAGAGAUCUCGUGCUUGGUGGAAAGCUCAGCUCAAGAAGCUUUGAAAUGCAGAUUAGGUUAAUUACACCAGAAUUAUAUUUGAAAAUUGAGAAGAAGCAUUUUCUAAAAGGCAAAUUCCAAAUAUAUGCCUUUUCAAAGGAAGUGUCAUUUGGAAAGAAACUGAAUCACACCAUGAAAUCUGUGGCAUUUCUUUUGGUCUCCACUCUCUUCUAUACUAGUGGUAGGCUCGUGUGA